rnacentral:lncRNA from 1 species
UAAGUCCAUGGGAUUUUUCCUUUCCUUGUUUUAUUUUUCUUGUCCUUGUUUUUGCUUUCCUUUUAGAAUUGUGGAUUCAAUUAGAGGGAGGGGUUUUUAUUGUAGGUUGUUAUUGUUUCGAUAUUGCAUACGUUGAGUGGGUUUUCAGGAGUAGAUUCGAUCCUCCCCAUACCCUCCUGCGUCAGUGGGCCUAAAGAGCCAAGAGAGUGACAAAGGGCCCAACGGGUUGGGAACUAGAAAAGUGAGUCUCAUCAGUCAAAUGUCAACUGAAAGAUUUAACUAUAGGUCAAAUUGAUCGAACCAUAUAGUGUUUUCUGAAAGUUUAAAAUGGUUGAAUGGAUUAGGGUUUUAUUUUGAUGAUACUGGUCUAAUGUUGAAUUAUAUGUCUUCCCAAAAAAUCCUAAACCCAUUAUCCUGUUAUCACAAAAGGGUUACUAUUACGAAAUUGAUUUCUAAUUGUUGGUGAACCACAUCUUGUGAAUGGAUACUAGACUAGUUUUUUCUCUGAUAA